CGUGUAGGCGGUUUGGUAAGUCUGAUGUGAAAGCCCCCGGGCUCAACCCGGGAAGUGCAUUGGAAACUGUCAGACUUGAAUACGGGAGAGGGUAGUGGAAUUCCUGGUGUAGGAGUGAAAUCCGUAGAUAUCAGGAGGAACACCGGUGGCGAAGGCGGCUGCCUGGACCGAUAUUGACGCUGAGACGCGAAAGCGUGGGUAGCAAACAGGAUUAGAUACCCUGGUAGUCCACGCCGUAAACGAUGAGUACUAGGUGUUGCGGGUAUUGACCCCUGCAGUGCCGCAGCUAACGCAUUAAGUACUCCGCCUGGGAAGUACGGUCGCAAGACUAAA
rnacentral:rRNA from 1 species